UCCUACGGGGGGCAGCAGUGGGGAAUAUUGCACAAUGGGGGAAACCCUGAUGCAGCGACGCCGCGUGAGUGAGGAAGUAUUUCGGUAUGUAAAGCUCUAUCAGCAGGGAAGAAAAUGACGGUACCUGACUAAGAAGCCCCGGCUAACUACGUGCCAGCAGCCGCGGUAAUACGUAGGGGGCAAGCGUUAUCCGGAAUUACUGGGUGUAAAGGGAGCGUAGGCGGCAAGGUAAGUAAGAUGUGAAAGCCCGCAGCUUAACUGCGAGGAUUGCAUUUUAAACUAUCUGGCUUGAGUACAGGAGAGGA
rnacentral:rRNA from 1 species